rnacentral:rRNA from 1 species
UUGGCUCAAGCGGCAAUCGAGCAGGAUGGAUAUCCUAGCGCCUCUAUAUUAGCACCCACAAGGAAAGUAAACAUAGGCGCAUAUUGUGUUCAACAUGAUGAUACAAGCGAGAGUUGGCCUACGCCGCCAACUGAUCUGCGGCAGCGUGGAAGGAGUGUUCAAAAGCAGCAUGAGCAGUUGUUCUACUGCUGGUCGGAGGGAGAGCUUGGCAAGGGAGAUAGAGGGAGCUCUACAACCACGAUCUUGGCAUACAACCCGAUGGCAUCGCUAUAUAUUAUUCAGCAAGUACGUUUGCAAAAAAAUUGA